rnacentral:rRNA from 1 species
UACGUAGGCAGCGAGCGUUGUUCGGAGUUACUGGGCGUAAAGGGUGUGUAGGCGGUCGUUUAAGUUUGGUGUGAAAUCUCCCGGCUCAACUGGGAGGGUGCGCCGAAUACUGAAUGACUAGAGUGUGGGAGAGGUGAGUGGAAUUCCUGGUGUAGCGGUGAAAUGCGUAGAUAUCAGGAGGAACACCGGUGGUGUAGACGGCUCACUGGGCCAUAACUGACGCUGAGACACGAAAGCGUGGGUAGCAAACAGG